rnacentral:rRNA from 1 species
GACGAACCGUGCGAACGUUGUUCGGAAUCACUGGGCUUAAAGGGCGCGUAGGCGGCUGAUCAAGUCAGGGGUGAAAUCUUUCGGCUCAACCGGAAAAGUGCCUUUGAUACUGGUCAGCUUGAGGGAGGUAGGGGCAUGUGGAACUUCCGGUGGAGCGGUGAAAUGCGUUGAUAUCGGAAGGAACGCCGGUGGCGAAAGCGAGGCCCUGGACCCUUACUGACGCUGAGACGCGAAAGCCAGGGGAGCGAACGGG